rnacentral:rRNA from 1 species
GGUUAAGCGACUAAGCGUACACGGUGGAUGCCCUGGCAGUCAGAGGCGAUGAAGGACGUGCUAAUCUGCGAAAAGCGUCGGUAAGGUGAUAUGAACCGUUAUAACCGGCGAUGUCCGAAUGGGGAAACCCAGUGCAAUUCGUUGCACUAUCGUUAACUGAAUACAUAGGUUAACGAGGCGAACCGGGGGAACUGAAACAUCUAAGUACCCCGAGGAAAAGAAAUCAACCGAGAUUCCCCCAGUAGCGGCGAGCGAACGGGGAGCAGCCCAGAGUCUGAAUCAGCUUGUGUGUUAGUGGAACGGUCUGGAAAGUCCGACGGUACAGGGUGAUAGUCCCGUACACCAAAAUGCACAGGUUGUGAACUCGAAGAGUAGGGCGGGACACGUGGUAUCCUGUCUGAAUAUGGGGGGACCAUCCUCCAAGGCUAAAUACUCCUGACUGACCGAUAGUGAACCAGUACCGUGAGGGAAAGGCGAAAACA